AACUCUGGUAUUGAUUGGUGCUUGCAUCAUGAUUUACAUUUGAGUGAGUGGCGAACUGGUGAGUAACACGUGGGAAACCUGCCCAGAAGCGGGGGAUAACACCUGGAAACAGAUGCUAAUACCGCAUAACAACUUGGACCGCAUGGUCCGAGUUUGAAAGAUGGCUUCGGCUAUCACUUUUGGAUGGUCCCGCGGCGUAUUAGCUAGAUGGUGGGGUAACGGCUCACCAUGGCAAUGAUACGUAGCCGACCUGAGAGGGUAAUCGGCCACAUUGGGACUGAGACACGGCCCAAACUCCUACGGGAGGCAGCAGUAGGGAAUCUUCCACAAUGGACGAAAGUCUGAUGGAGCAACGCCGCGUGAGUGAAGAAGGGUUUCGGCUCGUAAAACUCUGUUGUUAAAGAAGAACAUAUCUGAGAGUAACUGUUCAGGUAUUGACGGUAUUUAACCAGAAAGCCACGGCUAACUACGUGCCAGCAGCCGCGGUAAUACGUAGGUGGCAAGCGUUGUCCGGAUUUAUUGGGCGUAAAGCGAGCGCAGGCGGUUUUUUAAGUCUGAUGUGAAAGCCUUCGGCUCAACCGAAGAAGUGCAUCGGAAACUGGGAAACUUGAGUGCAGAAGAGGACAGUGGAACUCCAUGUGUAGCGGUGAAAUGCGUAGAUAUAUGGAAGAACACCAGUGGCGAAGGCGGCUGUCUGGUCUGUAACUGACGCUGAGGCUCGAAAGUAUGGGUAGCAAACAGGAUUAGAUACCCUGGUAGUCCAUACCGUAAACGAUGAAUGCUAAGUGUUGGAGGGUUUCCGCCCUUCAGUGCUGCAGCUAACGCAUUAAGCAUUCCGCCUGGGGAGUACGGCCGCAAGGCUGAAACUCAAAGGAAUUGACGGGGGCCCGCACAAGCGGUGGAGCAUGUGGUUUAAUUCGAAGCUACGCGAAGAACCUUACCAGGUCUUGACAUACUAUGCAAAUCUAAGAGAUUAGACGUUCCCUUCGGGGACAUGGAUACAGGUGGUGCAUGGUUGUCGUCAGCUCGUGUCGUGAGAUGUUGGGUUAAGUCCCGCAACGAGCGCAACCCUUAUUAUCAGUUGCCAGCAUUAAGUUGGGCACUCUGGUGAGACUGCCGGUGACAAACCGGAGGAAGGUGGGGAUGACGUCAAAUCAUCAUGCCCCUUAUGACCUGGGCUACACACGUGCUACAAUGGAUGGUACAACGAGUUGCGAACUCGCGAGAGUAAGCUAAUCUCUUAAAGCCAUUCUCAGUUCGGAUUGUAGGCUGCAACUCGCCUACAUGAAGUCGGAAUCGCUAGUAAUCGCGGAUCAGCAUGCCGCGGUGAAUACGUUCCCGGGCCU
rnacentral:rRNA from 2 species